CAGGACAGAAGAACAUCAACUUU
rnacentral:piRNA from 1 species